rnacentral:tRNA from 2 species
GCCCGGGUGGUGAAAUUGGUAGACACAAGGGACUUAAAAUCCCUCGGAGUAAUACUCCGUGCCGGUUCGAGUCCGGCUCCGGGCACCA